rnacentral:rRNA from 1 species
UUAAAUUGAAGAGUUUGAUCAUGGCUCAGAUUGAACGCUGGCGGCAGGCCUAACACAUGCAAGUCGAACGGUAACAGGAAACAGCUUGCUGUUUCGCUGACGAGUGGCGGACGGGUGAGUAAUGUCUGGGAAGCUGCCUGAUGGAGGGGGAUAACUACUGGAAACGGUAGCU